GACGGAGGAUGCAAGUGUUAUCCGGAAUCAUUUGGGCGUAAAGCGCGUGUAGGCGGCUCGGUAAGUCUGCUGUGAAGGUCCAGGGCUCAACCCUGGGAUGCCGGUGGAUACUGUCGAGCUCGAGUCCGGAAGAGGCGAGUGGAAUUCCUGGUGUAGCGGUGAAAUGCGCAGAUAUCAAGGAGGAACACCAAUGGCGAAGGCAGCUCGCUGGGACG
rnacentral:rRNA from 1 species